rnacentral:rRNA from 1 species
CGAUUAAUUCGUAUAAAAUUCUAAAUAGGAUAAUGAUAAUGACAAUUUCCUAUUUAUAAGUCUUGACCAAAUUACGUGCCAGCAGUCGCGGUAAUACGUAGAAGACUAGUGUUAGUCAUCUUUAUUAGGUUUAAAGGGUACCUAGACGGUAAAUAACACUUGAGUAGAGUACUUAUUUACUAGAGUUUUAUGUGAGAAGGAAGAACUUCUGGAGUAGUGAUAAAAUACUUUGAUACCAGAGGGACUGGUAACGGCGAAGGCGUCCUUCUAUGUAAAAACUGACGUUGAGGGACGAAGGCUUGGGUAGCAAGAAGGAUUAGAUACCCUAGUAGUCCAAGCAGAAAAUGAUGAAUGUCAUAGACUAGAUAACAGAUUUAGUCUAUAAAUGAAAGUGUAAGCAUUCCACCUCAAGAGUACUAUGGCAACAUAUAAACUGAAA